ACCAGAUUGGUGUAACGGUUAACAUCCCGCGUUUUCAAGCUACUUGAGAGUUCCGCGGAGCUCGGGGUUCGACUCCCCGAUUUGGUG